rnacentral:rRNA from 1 species
UAGUAACUGCGAGUGAAGCGGGAAAAGCUCAAAUUUGAAAUCUGGCGUGCCUGUGGCCGUCCGAGUUGUAGUCUGGAGAAGCGUCUUCCGUGCUGGACCGUGUACAAGUCCCUUGGAACAGGGCGUCAUAGAGGGUGAGAAUCCCGUCUUUAACACGGACUGCCAGCGCUCUGUGAUGCGCUCUCAACGAGUCGAGUUGUUUGGGAAUGCAGCUCAAAAUGGGUGGUAAAUUCCAUCUAAAGCUAAAUACAGGCGAGAGACCGAUAGCGAACAAGUACCGUGAGGGAAAGAUGAAAAGCACUUUGGAAAGAGAGUUAAACAGUACGUGAAAUUGCUGAAAGGGAAACGCUUGAAGUCAGUCGUGUCUGCCAGGACUCAGCCUUGCUUUUUUUUUUGCUUGGUGCAUUUUCUGGUAAAGACAGGUCAGCAUCGAUUUUGAUCAUCAAAAAAAGUCAAAGGGAAGGUGGCACCUUUCGAGGUGUGUUUAUAGCCCUUUGUUGUAUAUGAUGGUCAGGAUCGAGGACUGCAGCACGCCUUUAUGGCUGUGGGGGGACCCCUCCCCAUACAACGUGCUUAGGAUGCUGGCUUAAUGGCUUUAAGCGACCCGUCUUGAAACACGGACCAAGGAGUCUAACAUGCGUGCGAGUGUUUGGGUGGGAAAACCCGAGCGCGUAAUGAAAGUGAUAGUUGAGACCUCUGUGAUAUGGAGGGCAUCGACGCCUGGACUUGAUCUAUGGAGACGGUUCUACGGUAGAGCAUGUAUGUUGGGACCCGAAAGAUGGUGAACUAUGCCUGAAUAGGGUGAAGCCAGAGGAAACUCUGGUGGAAGCUCGUAGCGAUUCUGACGUGCAAAUCGAUCGUCAAAUUUGGGUAUAGGGGCGAAAGACUAAUCGAACCAUCUAGUAGCUGGUUCCUGCCGAAGUUUCCCUCAGGAUAGCAGAAACUCGUAUCAGAUUUAUGUGGUAAAGCGAAUGAUUAGAGGCCUUGGGGUCGAAACGACCUUAACCUAUUCUCAAACUUUAAAUAUGUAAGAACGGGCCGUCAC